rnacentral:rRNA from 1 species
ACGUUAUUCGGAAUCACUGGGCUUAAAGCGCGUGUAGGCGGGUCGGCACGUCGGCCGUUGAAAUCCCCCGGCUCCACCGGGGAAGUGGCGCCGAUACGACCGACCUGGAGCGACGUAGGGGGGACUGGAACUUCCGGUGGAGCGGUGAAAUGCGUUGAGAUCGGAAGGAACGCCCGUGGCGAAAGCGAGUCCCUGGACGUCGGCUGACGCUGAGACGCGAAAGCCG